CACUGAACAGACUUUGGGUAAAUAGCAAACUGAUUUGACAACAGAAAGGCAUGGAACAACAGAAUCGUUCCACCAUUGUUGUUUUGGCAUGCACCAGGCACACUGCCAAUGAAAUUGUUAAGUUCACAAAACUUCCAAAAGCAACAGUUUAUUGUGUGUCUGAACAAUUUAAAGAA